UUGAUUGAUUCAUCAAGUACUCCGACGUACAGAUACAGAGUUGAAAUGAUCCACCGGGGACCCCGGCGCGGAGGCCGGGUCGUCCCCGAGGCAACAAGUGUUGGGUCAACAAAGGGUUGGAGGUCGGGCCGGAGGCCCUCACUCGGUAAUGAUCCCUCCGCAGGUUCACCUACGGAGA
rnacentral:misc_RNA from 1 species